AGAGUUUGAUCCUGGCUCAGAUUGAACGCUGGCGGCAUGCCUUACACAUGCAAGUCGAACGGCAGCACGGGGGCAACCCUGGUGGCGAGUGGCGAACGGGUGAGUAAUAUAUCGGAACGUGCCCUAGGGUGGGGGAUAACGUAGCGAAAGUUACGCUAAUACCGCAUACGAUCUAAGGAUGAAAGCGGGGGAUCGCAAGACCUCGCGCUCGUGGAGCGGCCGAUAUCCGAUUAGCUAGUUGGUAGGGUAAAAGCCUACCAAGGCGACGAUCAGUAGCUGGUCUGAGAGGACGACCAGCCACACUGGGACUGAGACACGGCCCAGACUCCUACGGGAGGCAGCAGUGGGGAAUUUUGGACAAUGGGGGCAACCCUGAUCCAGCAAUGCCGCGUGUGUGAAGAAGGCCUUCGGGUUGUAAAGCACUUUUGUCAGGAACGAAACGGCUCUGGUUAAUACCUGGGGCUAAUGACGGUACCUGAAGAAUAAGCACCGGCUAACUACGUGCCAGCAGCCGCGGUAAUACGUAGGGUGCAAGCGUUAAUCGGAAUUACUGGGCGUAAAGCGUGCGCAGGCGGUUUUGUAAGACAGAUGUGAAAUGCCCGGGCUUAACCUGGGAACUGCAUUUGUGACUGCAAGGCUAGAAUCUGGCAGAGGGGGGUAGAAUUCCACGUGUAGCAGUGAAAUGCGUAGAUAUGUGGAGGAAUACCGAUGGCGAAGGCAGCCCCCUGGGCUAAGAUUGACGCUCAUGCACGAAAGCGUGGGGAGUAAACAGGAUUAGAUACCCUGGUAGUCCACGCCCUAAACGAUGUCUACUAGUUGUCGGGUCUU
rnacentral:rRNA from 1 species